rnacentral:sRNA from 1 species
GCUUAUGGAACAAAAGCUAAAAACGCGGCAUCGUGCGGCAACGCUUUUGUGACCCACAUCCUGUGGG